rnacentral:rRNA from 1 species
GAUGAACGCUAGCGAUAGGCUUAACACAUGCAAGUCGAGGGGCAGCAUGGUCUUAGCUUGCUAAGGCUGAUGGCGACCGGCGCACGGGUGCGUAACGCGUAUGCAACUUGCCUCACAGAGGGGGAUAACCCGUCGAAAGACGGACUAAUACCGCGUACACUCUAUGUUGGGCAUCCAAUGUAGAGGAAAUGAAAUUCGCUGUGAGAUAGGCAUGCGUCCCAUUAGCUAGUUGGUGAGGUAACGGCUCACCAAGGCGACGAUGGGUAGGGGAACUGAGAGGUUGAACCCCCACACUGGUACUGAGACACGGACCAGACUCCUACGGGAGGCAGCAGUGAGGAAUAGUGGUCAAUGGGCGAGAGCCUGAACCAGCCAAGUCGCGUGAAGGAUGACUGUCUUAUGGAUUGUAAACUUCUUUUAGACGGGAAUAACAAGAGUCACGUGUGGCUCCCUGCAUGUACCGUAUGAAUAAGCAUCGGCUAACUCCGUG